rnacentral:pre_miRNA from 1 species
CAACAGAUGUGAAACCCCAGAGGAGUGAACCUGAGAACAGAGGGUGGCGUUGGCUUAAAUUUGAUUUGCAUUGCUGCUGCCUGCUCCUGCCAUACAUUAAAUCAAAAAGAUUGUAUGUGGCCAACGCACCUUGUGUUCUCAGGUCACCCCUUUGGGAAUUCAAUUGUCAAUCAGCACGUGUCAUCAAGUUACUCAAUUGCUCUAACAUUCGCUGCUUCUGAUUCA